rnacentral:miRNA from 1 species
UAAUACUGUCAGGUAAAGAUGUU